rnacentral:lncRNA from 1 species
GUGACUAGAAGAAUCCUCUGUUAAAGCAUAAUGUUUUGCAUCUGAUGUAGCCGAACUUAGUCUAUCAAUUGAUAGUCUCAUUAAAUAAUCUGUCAAUAGUCUAAGAUAUUUGUCAUUUUGGCAUCAUACAUGAUUCUGUGAACUUGGCCCUUGUCCCAUGUAUUUAUUUCAUCUUGAUUCCACUCUAAGUAUUGGACCCCCACUUUGUAUUUUAUCUUGUUAUUUGUCGGUUAUCUUUGCAUAUCUUGCGGGGCAUAGAAUUAAACAUGUAUUCUUUCUUUAGGAACCACAUAUAGUACUGUUUGCUUGUUUUAUCAGACUUCAAAAGAAUAAACAUAUGCUCCUAUGCUUCAGAAAUGGUUGCAGAUACAUUAAACCUUCCAUUAUAUUAUAAAAACAUAUUCAUAUGCACGUGACUACAUAAUAUUAUGUAUUGUGAUAAAUAUAGAGUCCACUUGCUAAUUCUUUUCGUCUUCUUAUGUUUCAUGUACAACCGGAGAGCUGGAGUUUCUACUUUGGAACUCGUUAUUGGCCUAAAGUAUUAGGCCAACAGCAAAUUAGGAUCAUCGCAAUGCUUGGAGUCUCGCAAAUUAGGGAUCCAAUAUUUCUU